CGGGGUGUAGUCUAAGGGAUAGGCAGCGGUCUUCUAAACCGCUUAAUGCUGGUUCGAAUCCAGUCACCUCGA
rnacentral:tRNA from 1 species